UGCAGUUGUCCAACCUCAAUCCCAAACGCAUCCUAUAUCAAGCAGAUCAACAACAAUUUUAUGCACCAUGUUGAAAGUUUUCUCAUCUAGGACUGGCAAGCACCAGAAUGGCUGGAUCAUCAACAACAAUUUAUGAGCCACUGUGUCUUGGUUUCACUGAAUUGCUGGAUGAUUAGCUUGGUCUUGAAGCUGAAAUUUUCACCUAGAACUGAGAAAAUAGUUAAAUGAAAUAAUGACAUACAAUAAAGUCAACAAAAUACAAGGACAAAUAAACUUAUUUAGUAAUGUCGCAAUUAUAUUUAUUGCCAUGCUAUCACUUUCAUUGCAGACAUCAUCACCAUAAUACUAGCAGUCUAGCACUAAUAGCCAGAAUAAUAAUAAUAAUAAUAAUAGUAGCACGAUUUUUGAAAUUUCUGUAGAGUAAGAUCUAAAAAUGCCAAAAAUAUCAUAUGAAAAAAAAAAAGGUCCAAGAAUUCAAGGAAAGAAAACUCAUUAACAAAGAACCUAACUUUUUAAUCAUGUUUAAUAAACUAAGUUCUUAUGAUUUUCCAUUAUUAAGACAAUUGGUUUCUGCUUUCUAAUGUUUCAAAGCAUACCAAGAAAUAUUAACAAUUACCAAAUCAGUAAGCAGCACAAUUACUUGAUAAGACGUUUGACUUGUCUAACCCAAAAUUGUACCCAAUUCUACACUCUACUAUAAAGCUAAUGAAGCCGAACUUACUUUGACCAAACAACACUAUUAGCUCAGUUAAAGGAAACCACAACUGAAUAAAGAUCAGCUGAAAUAACUAAAUUGAAAAAAGUUCAUAAAACUAAAACUAACUUAUAAUAGUCUAUUAAAGACAUACAAAACAGGAAGAUAAAUAAACAUAGGUCUAUUUUCUUGACACUGCCAAGUUUUGGUUUCAAAAUCACCAUAUUGCAAUAAUAAAUUGUUGUGAUUCCUAAGAUACAAUAUGUAGCAGCUUAUAUGCUGGCAAUCAUAGUCAAAGAAGAUGGUUGUCAAACGUCCUCGCAAAUCAAGAAGCUAAUAAAGACCAGGUCGCGCAACAUUAACAUAUAUCAGUUCUUUGAUAUAAAGAUAUUGAAUGUUAUACACUUCUAAUCCCAAGUCCUGAAACAUAAAACAAAAGUUCACUUCACACAUUCAUAAGGCUAAAGUACUAGAGAAAUGGAGAAUAGACAUGGAUAUGGGUCAAUAAACUAUUAAGCUAAUUAAUGCACACGACGGAAUCUGUUAGAACUAGUUAAAUAGCCCUUACAGAGAACUAGCAGAAGCAUCCAAUUUCCUAAAAGGAGAUAACAGCAAUACUCAUAAAAUAGCUUCACUUACCAUUAAGCAAUAUGCUAGUAUUAACUCGCGAGAUAACAACUGAUGAUUGAUUCAGUUGCACUUAC
rnacentral:lncRNA from 1 species